rnacentral:ncRNA from 1 species
CCCGCGCUCACUACUACCGCCAUGAGAGCUUCGUUUCUUUUCAGUCGCAGAGGCUGGCGUUUCUGGUGUGGCAAAAUUGGCUGUAGCCAACGCACCUGAUCCAGAAGGUGGGCAAGUCUGGUGCCAGCAGCCGCGGUAACUCCAGCUCCAAUAGCGUAUAUUAAAGUUGUUGCGGUUAAAACGUUCGUAGUUGAACUUGUGCUUCAUACGGGUAGUACAACUAUAAUUGUAGUUUGUGCUAUACCUUAUGUAUGUAAGCGUAUUACCGGUGGAGUUCUUAUAUGUAAUUGUAAUACUUGUAUUCUUUACAUAUUCCUCCUAUUUAAACCUGCUUCAAUGCUCUUCAUCGAGUGCUGUUGUGGGCCGGUACAAUUACUUUGAACAAAUUAAAGUGCUUAAAGCAGGCUCCAAAUGCUUGAAUAUUUUGUGCAUGGAAUAAUGAAAUAAGACCUCUGUUCUACUUUCAUUGGUUUUUAGAUCAAGAGGUAAUGAUUAAUAGAAGCAGUUUGGGGGCAUUAGUAUUACGACGCGAGAGGUGAAAUUCUUGGACCGUCGUAAGACUAACUUCCAGAAGGUGGAACCCGGGAUGUGGCCAAUAACUUACGGAAAUCAUCAUUUGUUAAACGCACCGAAGCCGUAGAUUCUACUUGUGUUGGUUCAGCCAUAAUCCUUA